UACGGAGGAUCCGAGCGUUAUCCGGAUUUAUUGGGUUUAAAGGGUGCGUAGGCGGUCAGGUAAGUUAGAGGUGAAAUCCCGAGGCUCAACUUCGGAAUUGCCUCUGAUACUGUUCGGCUAGAGAGUAGUUGCGGUAGGCGGAAUGCGUGGUGUAGCGGUGAAAUGCUUAGAGAUCAUACAGAACACCGAUUGCGAAGGCAGCUUACCAAUCUAUAUCUGACGUUGAGGCACGAAAGCGUGGGGAGCAAACAGG
rnacentral:rRNA from 1 species